rnacentral:rRNA from 1 species
CCUACGAGGAGCAGCAGUGGGGAAUAUUGGGCAAUGGGCGCAAGCCUGACCCAGCAACGCAGCGUGAAGGAAGACGGCUCUCGGGUUGUAAAACUCCUUUGUCUGGGACGUAGCAAGUGACGGUACCUGACGAUUAUGUCUAUGCUAACUACGAUCUAGCAGCCGCGGUAAUACGGAGGGGGCAGGCUGUAUCCGGAUUUACUGGGGUUAAAGGGCGUGUAGGCGGGACUGUAAGUCAGAUGUGAAAACCACGGGCUCAACCUGUGGCCUGCAGUUGAAACUGUAGUUCUUGAGUACUGGAGGGGCAGACGGAAUUCCUGGUGUAGCGGUGAAAUGCGUAGAUAUUAGGAGGAACACCAGUGGCGAAGGC